CCUACGGGGUGCAGCAGUGGGGAAUAUUGCACAAUGGGGGAAACCCUGAUGCAGCGACGCCGCGUGAGUGAAGAAGGAUUUCGGUACGUAAAGCACUAUCAGCAGGGAAGAAAAUGACGGUACCUGACUAAGAAGCCCCUGCGAACUACGUGCCAGCAGCCGCGGUAAUACGUAGGGGGCAAGCGUUAUCCGGAUUUACUGGUGGUAAAGGGAACGUAGACGGCAGCGCAAGUCUGAAGUGAAAUCCCAUGGCUUAACCAUGGAACUGCUUUGGAAACUGGGCAGCUGGAGUGCAGGAGAGGUAAGUGGAAUUCCUAGUGUAGCGGUGAAAUGCGUAGAGAUUAGGAGGAACACCAGUGGCGAAGGCGGCUUACUGGACUGUAACUGACGUUGAGGCGCGAAAGCGUGGGGAGCAAACAGGAUUAGAUACCCGAGUAGUC
rnacentral:rRNA from 1 species